rnacentral:rRNA from 1 species
UACAGAGGGUGCGAGCGUUGUCCGGAAUCACUGGGCGUAAAGGGCGCGUAGGUGGCGACCCAAGUCAGUGGUGAAAGCUCGCCGCUUAACGGCGAGUCGGCCACUGAUACUGGGUUGCUCGAGCACUGUAGAGGCUAAUGGAAUUCCGGGUGUAGCGGUGGAAUGCGUAGAGAUCCGGAAGAACACCGGUGGCGAAGGCGGUUAGCUGGGCAGUUGCUGACACUGAGGCGCGACAGCGUGGGGAGCAAACAGG